UUCAGUGCCGGGAUACAAGUACGUCUCCACCUGUCAUGAGGCGCUUUGUGUCAUAACGUCUGCCUGCUCCUGGUGUUGCAGCUGCUAACUGUUCUCUGCCCGUCCUCUGCGGGUUACCAGUACCGAUCCGUCCUUUGUGUGUGUUGUAUGGCUGAAAGAUGGUGGGGCCGUAAUCUACUGGUUUGUCGCUAUUGAAUGAGCUCUCCUGUUGGCUUCCAACUGGAUGUCACUCGCUGCUGUUUUUUCUACCGGAAGACCAAUUCAAGACCAACUUGGGCCAGCCCCUGCUGGUGGGGUUUUGGCUACACCACUUUUAACGGAAUUGACUGAAUUGUUGUAUUUGUUGUGACGCCAUUGUUUUAUUUGGUCUGUGUUUGUUUAUCACUUCAAGGAACUGAGGCUCCAUGUGGUGGCGGUGGUGACUCUUGGUGGCGGUGUCCCGUAUUGUGUGUUUAUUUUGUUGGAGCACCCUUUUUCUCCUUGUUUGAUGUUUUUUUUUUUUUUGUAGUGUCUAGGGUGAUCCCUUUUCUUCACUGGAUGUUGCCCCUUUUUCUUCAGUCCUUUCCCUCUCCCCACUGGCAAAACAGCAGCGAGCCCACCUUACCACAAAGGACGAAUCAUGGCUGAUGAGGUUGAAGAAAUGCAGGACUUGAUUGCCCAAUUGAAAGCAAACAACGACCAAUUACGUCAGGAACAGUCACUCUGCCCCAGGAACUGAGGCUCUGUGUGGAGGCGGUGGCGACUCUUGGUGGCGGUGUCCCGUAUUGUGUGUUUAUUUUGUUGGAGCACCCUUUUUCUUGUUUGAUGUGGGUUUUUUUUUGUAGUGUCUAGGGUGAUCCCUUUUUUUCACUGGAUGUUGCCCCUUUUUCUUCAGUCCUUUCCCUCUCCCCACUGGUAAGCCUCAGUGUUCCCUGAAAUUAAACAUUGUUUGUUCAGCCCAAAUCUUAUCAAGCAAUUGUUGAAUUGUUUUAUCUUUGCCAUUUUAAAAUACUGGAAAUGAAAAGAAAUCUUUUUAACUAUUGACUUGUUUGGCACAUUAAUACAUUUUGUAAAACUUUGGAA